UGUAGCUGUUAACAUGGUGGUGGUGAACUAUCCUAUGGAAGUGUCUGGUUAUUUAAAAAAAAGGUAUGUUUCGCAAGCUCUGUAGUUUUAGCUCGCUCAACAAUCUGAAGCCUUACCACUGGGAAAGGUUAGGCUGAGCUAGCUUUAGUACUACCACUGGGAUAGGUUAGGCUGAGCUAGCUUUAGUGCUACCACUGGGAUAGGUUAGGCUGAGCUAGCUUUAGUGCUACCACUGGGAUAGGUUAGGCUGAGCUAGCUUUAGUGCUACCACUGGGAUAGGUUAGGCUGAGCUAGCUUUAGUACUACCACUGGGAUAGGUUAGGCUGAGCUAGCUUUAGUACUACCACUGGGAUAGGUUAGGCUGAGCUAGCUUUAGUACUACCACUGGGAUAGGUUAGGCUGAGCUAGCUUUAGUGCUACCACUGGGAUAGGUUAGGCUGAGCUAGCUUUAGUGCUACCACUGGGAUAGGUUAGGCUGAGCUAGCUUUAGUGCUACCACUGGGAUAGGUUAGGCUGAGCUAGCUUAAGUCCUACCACUGGGAUAGGUUAGGCUGAGCUAGCUUUAGUGCUACCACUGAGAUAGGUUAGGCUGAGCUAGCUUUAGUGCUACCACUGGGAUAGGUUAGGCUGAGCUAGCUUUAGUGCUACCACUGGGAUAGGUUAGGCUGAGCUAGCUUUAGUGCUACCACUGGGAUAGGUUAGGCUGAGCUAGCUUUAGUGCUACCACUGGGAUAGGUUAGGCUGAGCUAGCUUUAGUGCUACCA